GCGCCGCGUCUGCGGUGCGGGCGCCGCCGGGAGCCGGCCGGCGGGGGUCCCCGGGCAGCGGCGCCUCGCGCACGGAGCUGGCGGGCCACCGGGGCCGAGGCGCCCGGCCGGCAGGUGCGGCGGGCAGAGCGCGGGACCGUUGGCGCGGGAGGAGGAACUCACUGAUUCCGUGUGGGUUGUCCUCUCCCUUCCUCGUCGUGGAUGGACAUCUUUCCCAGAAGGCAGUCAACACAGAGACAGGCUCCAGGCCAUUCCCAGCCCCGGAGCGAGAGGCAGACAUGGAGACUGAAGGUGCCCCAGGGUCAAGUCUUCCUGGGUGCCCAGAGGCUCCCGGGGGUACCCGGAAGCCUCUCCAGGAUUUGGGCCUGGACCCUGUGGCUACUCUCGAAAGUCUCUGUGUUUCCCUCUUCCUGCAUCGCUGGGCCCAGAACCUCUCCCACAAGGGCCACAGUGGCUGAGGCGGAGCCGGAAGCCCCCGCCAUUGUCUCGAGAUCCUGCCUGUGCUGCACGUGGAGAUGUACCCCCAGGACCCCCACCUGAGACUUGAAUUGGCCCACGGGGCCGUCUUGGACCUUCCUCGUGCCCUCAAGAGAUGGAGGAGGAGAAGCUCACCUGGAGGGCGAGGCCGAGCAUGACGUUUCGCAGGAGGCAAAGCAGAACCUGCGGAGCUCCUGGUGCUGCCGUCAGGUCAUCUGUGAUCAAGGCUGCUUUCCUUCCGCGGGAGUGAGCAGUGGAGUGGAAAGGCAACGCAGAGUGUGUUUUCUUGCUCGAUUCAUUUUCUUCCCAUUUUAACUUUAAUUCUGCCUAAUCGCUGUAUUGUGACCCCAGUCGUCAAUCUUUGAUGCACUCACAAGUAGCUCUGGAAGGACCUGGCUACAAGUGCUGGGUCUUGAUGAAAUGCAGAUGGCGACAGGCUACCCGGUAAUGUCCCCCCGGGGGGGGCUGAAGCAACCCUCUCCGGCCCUUUUCGAAUUUCAGGCCAGCGUGUGGGCGGCCCUCUGCAGCACCUCUCCCUUGCAGGGCGUUACCCCCACCGCUGCCUGCACAAAACAAACAGGAGACCUGAGCGAGAAUUCAGAGCCCUUCAAAGUGCUUUCUGCCGAGCAAGAAAGCAAGUCAUUUCAGAUUCGUCUGUUCCUACAAUGGACCCAGGGCUUCGAAAACCUGGGGAGUCACACCUUGGUCAAAAAGAUGACAAUAAAACAUAUUUGCAAACAUGUUUUAUUUUAAAUAAAAUAUUCUUAAAUGGUCUGCAUUAACAGUUUAGAGACAAGACUUCUAGCAGUAAAGUCAUAAAACUUAGAAAUGACAUUUCAUCCUUUGAUGACAGCAAGAAAGGAGACUUUGUGCCGAGAAUGUUGUUUAAAUAAAUUCAGCGUAACUGUGGCACGAACAUGGGCAUGCCUGCAUACUCAGUCUGCACACGUCGUAUUUUUACACAUUAACUUCUGGAGUGUUGCGUAAUUAAUGAAGAACCAAUUCAGCACGAGUGUGAGCUGAGUCUAUGUGCCAACAAAUCGGACCCAUCUCAUAAACAAUUCGGCAUAAAAUUUUAAAAAUCAUUUUUAUCGUAAAAGGAAUUCUACCUGCUACUCAUGGAUACAUCCAUUAGUUCUGGUUUUUUGGCCAAAUGAAAUUUAACUAAGGGAAAGAGAAAAUGUAGAGUACUGAGAAUGAUCCAGAUUUUAUGGGUAAACUAAGGAAAUGGUUUAUUUCUUGUACUAAUUCCUUGGAAAAUAUCACUUUUGUUUUUUGAGGCUUAUGUUUAAUUAAUAAGAAACUAACAGAAAUACUUAAUCUGACUGCCUGUUUUUGACAAAGUUUCCAGGGAAAGAACUAGAACUAUAGCGUGGAGCGGCUGAGGAGCCUCAGGCGUCCCGCUUGAUCUGAACUCACUCCAGAUCCGUAAGACGGCAUUGGUGUUAGUGUGACAGGCGGCUCUCUGGGCUGAUUUCACAUUUGCUGGCGUUGAACUUACUGGGAUGACUUUAAGAAAUGAAGUGUAAGAAUUUGUUUUAUUAUUUUUUUAAUAUUUUAUGUGUUUAUCUGACAAGAUCACA